CCUACGGGAGGCAGCAGUGAGGAAUAUUGGACAAUGGGCGCAAGCCUGAUCCAGCCAUGCCGCGUGCAGGAAGACGGUCCUAUGGAUUGUAAACUGCUUUUAUACAGGAAGAAAUACUUUCUCGUGAGAGAGCUUGACGGUACUGUAAGAAUAAGGAUCGGCUAACUCCGUGCCAGCAGCCGCGGUAAUACGGAGGAUCCAAGCGUUAUCCGGAAUCAUUGGGUUUAAAGGGUCCGUAGGCGGUUUAAUAAGUCAGUGGUGAAAUCUGGUCGCUCAACGAUCAAACGGCCAUUGAUACUGUUAGACUUGAAUUAUUGUGAAGUAACUAGAAUAUGUAGUGUAGCGGUGAAAUGCUUAGAUAUUACAUGGAAUACCAAUUGCGAAGGCAGGUUACUAACAAUGGAUUGACGCUGAUGGACGAAAGCGUGGGGAGCGAACAGGAUUAGAUACCCUGGUAGUCCACGCCGUAAACGAUGGAUACUAGCUGUUGGGCGCAAGUUCAGUGGCUAAGCGAAAGUGAUAAGUAUCCCACCUGGGGAGUACGUUCGCAAGAAUGAAACUNAAAGGAAUUGACGG
rnacentral:rRNA from 1 species